rnacentral:rRNA from 1 species
AGAGUUUGAUCCUGGCUCAGGAUGAACGCUAGCUACAGGCUUAACACAUGCAAGUCGAGGGGCAGCAUGGUCUUAGCUUGCUAAGGCCGAUGGCGACCGGCGCACGGGUGAGUAACACGUAUCCAACCUGCCGUCUACUCUUGGACAGCCUUCUGAAAGGAAGAUUAAUACAAGAUGGCAUCAUGAGUCCACAUGUUCACAUGAUUAAAGGUAUUCCGGUAGACGAUGGGGAUGCGUUCCAUUAGAUAGUAGGCGGGGUAACGGCCCACCUAGUCUUCGAUGGAUAGGGGUUCUGAGAGGAAGGUCCCCCACAUUGGAACUGAGACACGGUCCAAACUCCUACGGGAGGCAGCAGUGAGGAAUAUUGGUCAAUGGGCGAGAGCCUGAACCAGCCAAGUAGCGUGAAGGAUGACUGCCCUAUGGGUUGUAAACUUCUUUUAUAAAGGAAUAAAGUCGGGUAUGGAUACCCGUUUGCAUGUACUUUAUGAAUAAGGAUCGGCUAACUCCGUGCCAGCAGCCGCGGUAAUACGGAGGAUCCGAGCGUUAUCCGGAUUUAUUGGGUUUAAAGGGAGCGUAGAUGGAUGUUUAAGUCAGUUGUGAAAGUUUGCGGCUCAACCGUAAAAUUGCAGUUGAUACUGGAUAUCUUGAGUGCAGUUGAGGCAGGCGGAAUUCGUGGUGUAGCGGUGAAAUGCUUAGAUAUCACGAAGAACUCCGAUUGCGAAGGCAGCCUGCUAAGCUGCAACUGACAUUGAGGCUCGAAAGUGUGGGUAUCAAACAGGAUUAGAUACCCUGGUAGUCCACACGGUAAACGAUGAAUACUCGCUGUUUGCGAUAUACCGCAAGCGGCCAAGCGAAAGGCGUUAAGUAUUCCACCUGGGGAGUACGCCGGCAACGGUGAAACUCAAAGGAAAUUGACGGGGGCCCGCACAAGCGGAGGAACAUGUGGUUUAAUUCGAUGAUACGCGAGGAACCUUACCCGGGCUUAAAUUGCAGAUGAAUUACGGUGAAAGCCGUAAGCCGCAAGGCAUCUGUGAAGGUGCUGCAUGGUUGUCGUCAGCUCGUGCCGUGAGGUGUCGGCUUAAGUGCCAUAACGAGCGCAACCCUUGUUGUCAGUUACUAACAGGUUCCGCUGAGGACUCUGACAAGACUGCCAUCGUAAGAUGUGAGGAAGGUGGGGAUGACGUCAAAUCAGCACGGCCCUUACGUCCGGGGCUACACACGUGUUACAAUGGGGGGUACAGAGGGCCGCUACCACGCGAGUGGAUGCCAAUCCCCAAAACCCCUCUCAGUUCGGACUGGAGUCUGCAACCCGACUCCACGAAGCUGGAUUCG